UACGUAGGGACCAAGCGUUGUUCGGAUUUACUGGGCGUAAAGGGCGCGUAGGCGGCGUGGUAAGUCACUUGUGAAAUCUCUGAGCUUAACUCAGAACGGCCAAGUGAUACUGCUGUGCUAGAGUGCAGAAGGGGCAAUCGGAAUUCUUGGUGUAGCGGUGAAAUGCGUAGAUAUCAAGAGGAACACCUGAGGUGAAGACGGGUUGCUGGGCUGACACUGACGCUGAGGUGCGAAAGCGUGGGGAGCAAACAGG
rnacentral:rRNA from 1 species